AUAAAUUGUUGCAAAUUUUCUGUUGCUCUUCAUAAAAUGGUUGGUAAAAGCUCAAAAAGAGCACGCUCCGGAAAGAACGUUGCCUCAUCUUCCGUUCCUCCUCCUCCGUCUGUCCAUAACUACAAGGACGGAUCAUUCUUAUGGUUCGAAAAUGAGACCGACCUCGCUCGGUAUUUAGAAAAGUUUGAGAAUCGUGAAAUUCUUCCUCCCCGAUUCUCAACUGCUCGUUACUUCGGCAAUUCUGUUCCUUUAUCAACGAGAAAUACAUUGAUUCAAGAUUAGGUGCAAAGUGGUAGUGUGAUUGUUUAAUCGUGAGAUGUCUAUGUCUAGUGAACCAAACCGGAGCUAUAUGUCC
rnacentral:lncRNA from 1 species